UACAGAGGUCUCAAGCGUUGUUCGGAUUCAUUGGGCGUAAAGGGUGCGUAGGCGGCUUGUUGCGUCGACUGUGAAAACCCGCGGCUUAACUGCGGGCUUGCAGUUGAUACGGGCAGGCUAGAGUUCGGUAGGGGAGACUGGAAUUCCUGGUGUAGCGGUGAAAUGCGCAGAUAUCAGGAGGAACACCGGUGGCGAAGGCGGGUCUCUGGGCCGAUACUGACGCUGAGGAGCGAAAGCGUGGGGAGCGAACAGG
rnacentral:rRNA from 1 species